AGGACGAUUACGGCCGACAGUGGAUUUGGUAUUCAGGACUUCUUUGGUUGCUCCAUCCAAACAAUAACAAUAUCAGUAACAAAAGUAUCAUCAAGAAGUAGCUGUGCAGCUAUACCAAGGCCAUUUCAAAGUUUACUCGCUGCUAGUUACCCUCCACACAUUGGAGUCUGGGAAUGAUGAUUGGGGUCUGCCAUCCCGGCCUCAAGGUCAAGGGUUACACAGCCUUUCCUCACUCAUGGGCCUAGUAGUCAUGGUUUGUCCUGGUCGUUGCGUAAGGGGUGAUCUCCCUGUUUCACUGCGACAGCUAGAUAUAUUACGCUUCAGUGCAGAGCUACAAGAGGGAAUCAAGAAAUUAGAAGGAACAAACCCAACUUUAGCCCAGCCCAAGGCUUGAUGGCAGAAUUACUCAUUUCCAAAGCGCAAUGUGCACGUAGAUAAACUGUGAAUCCUGGGUGCAAGUCAUGCGGCAUGUGCAAGUUGUCGGCCUAUCUGCCGG